CCUGAACGCUGGCGGCGUGGCUAAGACAUGCAAGUCGUACGGAUGUAGCAAUACAUCAGUGGCGGACGGGUGAGUAAUGAAUCGCUAAUGUACCCCAGAGUCUGGGAGUAGCUGCCCGAAACGGGACAGGUAAUACCAGAUGAUAUAUCCGAUAGGCAUCUGUUGGAUCUCAAAGGAGCAAUACGCUCUGGGAGGCAGGCGAUUUCGAUCAGCUAGUUGGUGAGGUAACGGCUCACCAAGGCGACGACGCGUAGCUGGUCUGAGAGGACGGCCAGCCACAUU
rnacentral:rRNA from 1 species